GCCCUCUGAUACCCUGGGCUACACACGUGUUACAAUCGCAUCUACAAAGGGACGCAAUGCCGAUCGAAGGCGGAGCAAACCCUACAAAAGGAUGCGCCAGUUCGGAUUGAGGUCUGCAACUCGACCUCAUGAAGCCGGAAUCGCUAGUAAUCGCAGGUCAGCUAUACUGCGGUGAAUACGUUCUCGAGUCUUGUACUCACCGCCCGUCAACCCAAGGGAGUCGGAGGUGCCCGAAGUCUCGCCUCGCGCGGGCCUACGGCAAAUUCGAUGACAGGGGGUAAGUCGUAACAAGGCACGGGUAGCGGAAGCUGCUCGUGGAAUAUUUCAAGU
rnacentral:rRNA from 1 species